AUUUUGGAGAUGAAUUUAUUCUGAAAUAGUUAUAUUCAUUUGAAAGUUUAGUUUCAAUUUUUUUUAAAUCAAAAAAACUGUAGGAUGAUGAAUUGUUACUUUUUUGUUGUUGCCUAUUUAUUAUUUUUAUUUACUCAUUGAGACUGAUUUUUAUCAUAGCAUUAGAUAGUAGGUAAGUUUUAAUUAUUUGGGUCUUAUUUUGAAAAUAUUCUUAACUCCAAAUCGUUUAUGUAAUUUUAAAUCUACUGAGUACUUCAUUUACUUUAAAUUAUCCUAAUAUGGAUUCAAACUCAAUCGAUAUUCUAGUUUGUUGCAGAAAUGUAUAAGACCUCUUUCACAUGAACUUUUUUCUAACGCGGAUUAAGAAGGCGUCGAAUGAAAGAAAAGCCAAAUUCGAUAUAACCGGCGACCGCCGACGGUUGAAAAUCCACUACUGCAAACUAUCGCUUAGGAUUGAGGAACAUGUUAAGAUAUGAUCAAAAUAUCUGUUAAAAAUCUUAUUUUUCUUUAGCCGACUUAAAAGGUAAACAAAAAGAAGCGAACUUCGCGAAAAAAUACGUAAGCGACGCGCAUUGUCUGGCGCUUUAGACGUUAUAAAGUUUUCUUUUUCUUGGCCAUGGUUUAGUUGUUAGUGCGCGGUAAGGACUAAGAACCUCUAUGUGCCGUGUAUGCCGCGUCGUUCAGGCGUUUUUCGAGAACGGAUUAAUUUGCCUUAAGUCAGCCAACGAAAAAUGUCUAGCUAUUUGAAUUUGUUUUAUUCCAAUGAUUUUCAGCUCUUAUAAGCAAGAAGAACCUUGUAACUUUAAAAAAACGCGCGUUAUUAAAACGUCCGUGUGAACACGGGCUUAUAAAUAUUAAGAUAUCAUACUUAAAUACAAAAUGAAAUCAAAAAAUUACAAAUAGUAAAUGUUAUUAGCGAAUUCAAGGUGCCAAUUUUUUUUUUUUUGUUUAUAAAUUAAGUACUUUUUAAAGAUUUUUAUAAUAUCUUUUUGUAUUACUUUAUUAACAACCUCUUAGGUUUUUUAAGUUCGUUCUACAACGCGCGCGAAAUGCAAUUUCAUCCGUUUCACGCCGCGAGUGAAGAGCGGGCAAUAGAUAUUGUAAGUCUUCUUUUUACGACACGCAACGACUACGAUACAAUUUUUUUUAUAAAUCUUUUUACUUACAGCAUAUAAUAUUAUAUAGUAUAAGAGCCAUUAUACUUAUUGUAGCCAUGGGGUGAUUCGCUAACAAUGUCUAACACUGAAUGAUAGACACUCAGCUCAUUUGAUAUUGGGUGGUUCUAUAUUGCUGCUUCAUUAAAAUAUUUUUUCGUACAAAAUAUUCAAUAAUGGAUUGUCAAAUGAGUUCGGUGGCUAUCAUUAUUAGCAAAUCAGUAGCGAAGUUCUAUAGAAACUGAGUUAUAAAUGUCACAGUAAGGGUGCAUUCAGACUGGCUCGCGCGUAUAUAUAAGUUUGUAAACGCACUGAAAAAUGAGUAUACGCGCGAAAAAAAAAACUUAUCUAAUACUGUUCUAAAACAAUGUUCCCCCAUAAUAGCGUGAAGUUACAUCAAUGAAAUUAUCGCAACCAAGCUGUUAUUAAUUUUUUUUAAAUGUUUUUGGGCCUUGAGAUUACGAUAGUUCAUACUUGUUAAAGUUGAGAUCUAUAUAGAGCAUAUAUUAACUUUGCUUAGAGUUUGCAUAGAGUUAAAACGAGACAGAUUAAUGUCAUAGACAAAUCUGUCUAGUUUUAACUUCAAAGAUAAUUUAUAUUAACUUGUGAGAUAUUUAUACUUUUGUUAUACCUAGUUGAUUGUUGAAGACUGAUUUUUAAUUACUUAAGGGUACACUUCUUACGCGUUUCGCCAUACAAAAGUAUGACGCCUAUUAUUUUAUUCUUUGUUAAUCUAGAUCUAUAACUAAGUUAUAUAUCGAUUUACCUCUCCAGUAUCUAUGCCCUAAAAAAAUAAUAUAGUAAAAAUGUAUUUAUUUUAAAAGUUAUGGCCCUUGAAAUAUCUCUAUUUUAGGGCUAAUUUUCAGGCAUAAGAAAGUAGAAAAUUAAAAAAUUAAUAAAUUUAUGUCACACUUUACUUCAUAAUAAUUUCAAAUGACUUUAGUUUGUGUAAAAAAUGUUUUCUUUUGAAAAAAAUAGGCGUAAUUCCAAACGUUGAUUUGCAAUUUUAAUUUUGCCAAUUUUGACUAAAAAUCUUGAAUCUCAAUCGAAAUUUAUUCACCCGGUCUCUCUCGGGGUGAAGUGUGAUUAGAGUGAAAGGGUGACACGCACCCUUUCACCCGUCAACGAGCUAUCUAUCGCUUCUAUGAAGCGGACUCUUAGUGAAUUUUGGUAAGAUACCUUUAUAGCCUUACUUGUAGUAAUUUCUGAUAAGACAGAAACUAGGUCUUUAUGUUUUUACACAGUGAUUAGAAAAUUAAUUCCUAUGUGGUUAGUUUGGCUGGGCGAAAGAAUAUCGUUAUGUAAUUUUUAACUUAAAUCAUUCGAUUUAUCAAACUUUUGAGUGAUAGUAAAAGUGCUUUAAAUGAUACCUUUUUAAACCAUAUUAAAAUAUACUUAAUAUUAAGAUUUUAUUUAUAAGAUGAAAUCAAAAUUUCAUUUUAUCGCAGAUUUUUAUUUUGUUAUCAAGUCCAAGGUGGUGGGUUUUUAAAGUUUUUAAUUUACUUUUUAUAAAUCUUUAAAAUAACUUUUUUAUAUUAGUUACUUCAUACUUUUAUUGAUAUAUAACAUGUUUGUCUUUUCAUAACAGCUAUAGGGCUCAAGGUACAUUGAAUGGAAGCGAGGCGACAGAUAUUUUCUAAAAAUGUGUUGAACAGAAAUUGAAGUUUACUACGUAUCUAAUGUACUUUAUGGAGCAAAUUCUAGAUCGCGUAGUUUACCGUAACGUUUGUCGACAUCCGUAAAUACCAUUCAACUUUAAAAUCGCAUUUUACAUAAUGUUUUGUAGGCGGCCGGUGUAUGGCCAGCGUUGCGUCGCCGUGAUCUUAGUGAAGCUACGCGUCGCUUCGCUCUGCCAUAAUAUGCCUUGAUCCUUACAAUAUUUAGUACAGUUGGUAUCUGAUAAAUAGAAUUCGGAUGGUGAAGCUGCGUAGUGAGUGAUUUAUCGAGCUGAUCUAAAGUGAGGUGUGCCGUGCCGCACGUCACUUCUUGUCGUAUGUGUCGUACGCCACUUCGUAUUGUACGCUGCGCUAUUGGUUCUUCAGUCAACCAUUCGUUUUCCGCGCGAUAUGAAAGCACAUAUCCAUUUUCAUUUUAGUCCAGAGUUCUGUUUAACUGACGCCAGCUGUACAAUAUAUUGUUUUUUAGAUCUAAAUUAUACUUAAAGUACAAAAUCAACUAAGUUAUAAUUAAGUAAAAGUAACUAAGGCUGUGUUCUACGACAGUGCUAUAAAUUGUCUGAUUAGUGAUUAUUGAUCUCUUGUUAAUUAAGAAACGGCCUGUACACAAAUGUGUAGUAUUAUUAAUUUUUAGUAGAUAGAUAGUUAAUUUAUUACAUCAACUUUUUUGUUCAA